UACGGAGGGUGCAAGCGUUGUCCGGAAUCACUGGGCGUAAAGGGCGCGUAGGCGGCCUGGUAAGUAGGGGGUGAAAUCCUGCGGCUUAACCGCAGGGCUGCCUUCUAAACUGUCAGGCUUGAGCACGGUAGAGGCAGAUGGAAUUCCCGGUGUAGCGGUGGAAUGCGUAGAGAUCGGGAAGAACAUCAGUGGCGAAGGCGGUCUGCUGGGCCGUUGCUGACGCUGAGGCGGCGACAGCGUGGGGGAGCAAACAGG
rnacentral:rRNA from 1 species